ACGUACUAAUUGCCAUUCACACACCUCAGGGCCAACCACAAAUCCAGACCUGAAUGGACUAUAAAUAGGAGUGUAAGAGGAAAUGGCCUCAUCAGCACAAUUCAUUACUCUACAAUCACCAAGAUGAAGGCUAUCCUUCUUAUAAUUUGCAUUCUCCUGAUUUCGCUUCUUUUCUCACCCCCUUCAGUUGUAGCUCGCGAGCUGGCCGCUCAGGGUGGUUCUGGUGCAAUAUCUAAGCAUCCCAAUAAGGGAGCAGCAGCAUGUGGAAAGCCUGGCACUCCCGCUUAUAGCAAUUGCAUCGGAAAAUUACCAGAGCCUAAGCACAAGUGUAAACGACACACCUCCUAUGGGCGUUGCGAGCCAACUUGAAGGAACUAACUAAUUAAUUUGAAUAACUACGUACUUUAAUUAUGGUGUGAUCAAAGUACGUAUAUCAUGAUUAAAAUAGUAAGCUAUAUAUAAGUACUGGCCGGGAUGCUAAUUCUCGUGAUCACGAGGAGGAGUUGUACCUACGGUACUUGAGAAUAAACAGGUUUGGUUUAAUAUCGCCUUUGAGAAAUUAAAUUUCUACAAACUAUAUUUUUGUUUUACUGUAAUCUUACUGUAUAUGAUGGGGAUGAUAUUAUUCAUGAAUUUUUAUUUUAUUUUUUGUUUAAAAAAUAAAAUAUGAUUCAAGGAUACUGAUGAAAAAUGCCACACCUUAUAUAUAUAGUAGGAUGAAAAGGGAAUAGAAAUAUAUAUAGUUUGUAAUAUUAUUCGUCAUGUGAAAAUAUGUCAAAUAUAUAUUUCGAUAUGAUGUAUGCGUGCCAAUAAUAUAUAAUAAAAAAGAGCCUGCAUGUCGACUUAGGUUUGGUCA